UGGAGACAUAGUAUUGCAGGAGCGCACACAAUGGUACAUAAGGCUGAAGAGAAAAAAAACACAUACAUGCAGAUUAACCUAUUAUCCUGCAGUGUUCAUGCAAAGGAAGGCAAAAAACCCUUAUGAGGACAGUAUUUCAAGGCUAGUUGGUUAUGGAACCAGUCAAUACUCCGCUAACAGAUAGAGAACAUGCAAGAUAACUGAGCUCCUUCUAUUAAAUUCAGUCUGCUGUGCUGCAUUCUGUGUUGUUUGCUACUACACCAGACCACUGUACAUCACCAGAUCAGGUCACUUAGAGAUCAGAUUACAAUCUGCUCUUAAAAGUCUAUGGCGUGGGAAGGAAGUGUUUUCUGCAGAGUGAGGGGUAAGGUGGUCACUAUGACUGGUGUUUAAUACACUAGUCUAACGUAAACACUUUUUUUUUACAUCACAGUAAAUAUGAGCACAUCUUUGGAUGCCCAGUGUGCAUCUCUAAAAUCUACACCAGAA